rnacentral:lncRNA from 1 species
CAUUCAUUGGUUGUUGACAAUAUUUCUGAUUCCCAGUAAAAAAAAAGAGAAUGAAACAAACAAAAGACAGACUGCGAGGCCACACUAGUGCUUCCAAUACCGCAAGUACUACACAUGCAAGAUUGUAGCAAACACUCAGCCAAUUACAACAAUUAAAUUGGGAUUUCCCCCUCUCUACUUUUCCUCGACAACCCAACCUAGAUAGAUCUCCUCAUCACACCGUGUAGAUCCCAUAUGCUUUCCCCUCCUCCUGUAAUCAUAGCCAAAGUACCAAGUCAGGUUUCUCUAGCAGCACAAGAAAAGACAAAGAAAAAGGCUACCAAAACAAGGGACAACAAGCCUACUUCAUUCGAAUUCGACAACAAGCAACAUUAUCUCAACGUCAAUGGGAAUACAACAGGUACAGCCGUGCAAACAGAAGAUGUUACCCGAGCCCCUCUCGGUGGUUAACCAGGAUGUUAAUCUACAAGCAGUAGAACGAUCCCCAGAAAUAAAUCAUCACAGAAGGAACUUUGGUUGCUACUUGAAGCACACUCAGUUACUCGACCUUGUUUUGCCUGGUUACUCAGCUGUUACUUGACCCUCUUUAACUCUUCACUGUGAACAGUAGCAGUUAGUGUCUCCAAACUAUGCUAGAGCAGUGAAGCGAAAACUUGUCUCCAAACUAUCAAUGCCAAGUAGGCACUGCAGUUCUCUUAAGAAAUUAAAUUCUACAUAUUCCGGCAAGGUGACAAACGCUCUUCCAUUUCAGAAGAAGAAUGAGAAACUCUAGUUGCUACCUACAGUUUCAGGGAAUGGCAGAGCUGGAACGGAACCUCGGAAACAAGCAAAGGCAAAGCAUAACAUGGCAUAGCAUGCAUACAAGCUAUUUAUUUCCCAAGGAGCCACCGAUCAACAUAUGUUGAUUGACUUGGCAAACAUUAUACUUGCCCUCCAAAAAACGUCGACGCACAUGCAUGCUCACAGCAUCUAAGUUUGCUCAUCCUACUUAGAAUCACCUACGCAUAGGAAAAUAGAACAAUGUAACUGGCAGCACAAAUAGCUACUAUGGUCAGAAAACUCAAGCAAGACGACCUUCUACCAGGGGAGCUGCUCGAUGGCCGUGGGCACACAGACCAUGAGAGAAAAACAAGGGAGAGCAACCGAAGUGGCUUACCUAUGCCGUACUGGAAGAAGAAGCGUCCAAGUGAGGCGCCACUCAAGAGUGAGCGGCGACACAAGAAGAGUUGCUUCGAUGACAAAACUCGACUCGUGUUGGAUGCUGUGGUCGCCAAAGGCACAACCAUGGCGGUCCCGUGUGGUGCCCGUUCGGUGACCACCCUGUAACAGCAACAAAGAGAUAAGUUCUUUCUCAUUACAUCUAGCUAGCCUGCUCUGUACAUGAACACUGGAAAGUAUAUACAUCAAUAGAAGGACCAGAAUCAUAACAGCUUAACAUGCUAAAAAUGACCGAAUCAUGAUAAUGGUUAAAUCUCAUAGUGACAGAAUCAUAUAUUGGAAGAAAGGAAGACUACAUAUUGUCAGUCAAGCAGAGUUCAAUGAGUCAACAAUAUACUUUUUCUGUUCUCCCUAUUCCCUUAGAUGAGUCGAACAGAGUUCGGUUAAGUCAAACAGAGUUCUAGCCAACAACACAAAAAGAAGACUACAAGUUUAACCACACUGCCCUUCAGUUAGGCAACAACAAGAGUAGGCAGCCUAACAUGUUAACAUCCACAACGACAGCUAGCUUAAUUUGUCAAACAAGAAAAAUAGUACAUCUUCUCAUGUUUUCUUUCAUGUAUGACAGAAGCAACAGAUAGUUUGCUCAGACAAAACAAUAAAAUUUAAUUGAGAUCAGAAAACGAAAUCAUAGAGCUGCGCUUACAGAGUAUCAUCAUUGCAAGCCAUACAAAAAAAGAGAGUUAUAUUUACCAAGAAAAACCACUCUACCAUGCUCACUACAGCCCGUGCAUCAGUUACAAACAUACACAAGUAACAACACCAUGCUCCCUACAGCCUGUGCACCAGUUACUUCAUGAUAUGAAGGAACCGAAACACGUGGGAGGAACUACAUGCUCAUUUCCAAUAGAGAAGAGAAAGGAACCCAAAUUAAUGUUGUGUCUAAGAAAUGCCCGCAUACACUUUAUACAAGUUAAAUCACCAUGAUACGUCAACAUGCAGCAGGUAUAGGCUUGCAGCAACUAUGACAUGCCAAGAAAGUGCUUCUAUGGUCACAGAACUCAAGCAACACGAACUACUGCCAGUGGAGCGGCUCGAUGGCCGUCGGCACACAGACCAUGACAUAAGAAAUAGGGCGGAGCAACUGAAGUGGCUUACCUAUGCUAUAGUGGAAGGAGAAGUGCCACCGGAGGCGCCACUCGAGAAUGAGCGACGGCGCAGGCACAGCUGCUUCACCGACAAAACACAGCUCAUGCUGGACGGCGGAGUCUCCAUGCCGUGGUUGCCAAAGGCACAACCAUCGUGGUUCUAUAAGGCCAUAGGCCACGGUGGUGCUCGUUCGGUGACCACCCUGUAACAGCAAGAAAAAGAUCAGUCCUUUCUCAUCACAUCCAGCUAGCCUCCUCUGUACAUCAACACAGGAAAGUGUAUAUACAUAAAAAAAGGACGAGAAUCAUGUCCUUAUCAGCUUAACAUGCUAAAAACUAAACCAAAGGUUUUGCCAAAAAAUUCUUGAUUCCAGCAAACAGCAGUCUGAAUGAACAAAGUCCAUACUCUCAGGGCCAGGAAAAAAAGCAGCAAGACUACAUAUAUCGACAGUCAAACAGAUUUCAGCAAGCCAUCGGUAUCCUUUUCCUUUUCUACCUUAGACGUGGCCUCAACAUCAUUGUCAGGUCAACAACACAAAAAGAAGACUACAAGUUCAAACUUUUUUGCUCUUCAUUUAGGCAACAGCAAGGGCAGACAGCCAACAACGGAAAAAGAAAUGCAGUCACGAAGCAGUAGCAUAAACCAGCCCAAGUAUAGUAUUUCUGUUCUUGUCCCGGCUUAAUUACAAAAGGGGAGUGACCUUUGUUUAAUAACCAGUGCAUAUGAUCCAGUAUAAUCAUCCCAGAAAUAAUCAUGUACGAUCCAGUACAAGCAUUUCUGUAUCACACCAUAACACACAAUAUAUUCAUACACAAAGCCCUUGAGAGAUGACCAAAUAAAACAGGCAAAUUAUCCUGUUAAUGGCAUGCUACAGUCAAGAGGAUUGGUGGCCAGAUGACCACCACCACCACAAGCACUUGGUCAUUGGCAUGAUGGCCGGCACAACAUGGCCAUGAUGGUCGGGCUCCUUGGAGCAUGUGAGAGGGCAAGAGAAGGAACCGGGUGUCUUACCCAUGCAGGAGUCAAAGAAGAGGCGGCCGGAGUCGAUGCAGGCGAGGAAGAUCACCACCGUGUGUCGGGGUUGCAGUAUGCUGUCACAAUGCAGGACAAAAUGGGAGCACAAUGGCAUGAUGAUCAGAGCACAAUAAAAAAUGAAAUCACACAGGCAACAAAGAAAUGAUGCAUAUGAUUUACACCAAGGUUUUUAUCAUUUGGGCACAGAUAGCAGCACUACGAUACAACAGAAUCAACAUAGCUACAUACAUGCGUUCUUUUUAGUAUCCACGAUGAACAUGCCUCCAGUACAUGUGUUCUGCUUAAAAGAUAUUGUUCAUCAUACGGCAUGCUAAAACAGCACACAGAUCGCACUACAUACAGACAGACCAAGAUAAACACAUUAUUCAUUAUACAACAUCAUUUACAGGCUGACCGUGGUAGCAUGCACGCUGAUAGACUGACUAAACACUCCCUGACAACUAGGCAUGGCUUUAUGCAUCAUACAAAGUUAGCAGAUAGAUCGCACUACAUACAGACGAACAGAGGUAAACACAUUAUUCAUUAUACGACAUCAGUACAGGCUGAACCGUGAUAGCAUGCACGCCGAUAAACUAACUAGACACUCCUUGACAACUAAGCAAGACUUUAUGCCUCAUACAAAGUUAGCAACCUCGUUUAUUUAUAACAGCGCCGCGUAGAUAGAAACCUAAGGUUUUCACUGCAGCUGAAUCAAAAAAGCACAGAGACACAUGAAACAGUCAUAUAAAUUCAAUGGACUCCGAUAUAUCCUAAAUCAAAAGGGCAGCAGCAUUCUUACAAGUUUAUCUCAGUUAGUUUCAACCCUUUAGCGGUUCAGCAAAAGAAAUAGACAAAAUAUCACCAAAAGAAACAAGUUGAGAGCCAUGAGGCACUUUGCAUCUUGUGCCAGCCAAACAAUACAUCUGAAUUCUCCAAUCAGCCAAGCACUGAUCAACCUCGUCACAUGCUAAAUAAGACAGGAUCAACUGAUGCACUUACGCUUUGACAACUGUCUCCUCAUAUUUGUCCUCAAGACCCCUGGCCCUGUAACAACCAACCACGACUUCCACGUAUUUCUUCUCCUCUCCUGUCAUCAAUAUCAUCCAAAGAACCAAGUCAGGUCUCUCCAAUGAACACAAUAACACAAGGUAAUGACAAAAGUAAGUGACAGCAGGCUCAUGGAUUUUCAGGUUGCACGAAGAAUUCUAACAAGGACGGACCCGGACCAAUGAGUGUGUUGCAAAUAGCCAAAAAAAUUCUACAAAAUGUAGAUAAUAUAAGCUUCAGCCAAAAAUAUUGCCCUAAGCAUUUGCUCUCAAGUGAACGAGGCCCACAAAUCAUUGCCAGAUUACAUACAUCUCCUACCACAGCAAAUAGAUCACACUUCACACGGUAAGACCAAGGUAAACCUUUUAAUGUUCAUUAUACGGCAUCAAUACAAGCUGACCAUCAUAGCAUGCACGCUAAGAGACUAAACGAUGCCUCAUAACUAGGCAUGACUUUAUGCAUCUUAAAAAGUGGGCAACAAUGCCACACACAUAAAAACAUAAGGUUUUCGCUGCAGCUGAAUUACCAAAGCACAUAAAUACAUGAAACGGUCAUAUACUUUCAAUGAACUCAAAUAUGUCCUGAAUCAAAAGGUGCUUCUUCCUAAAAAGGUCAGGGUGCCACAGUGCUGUAGCUGAACAAUGAAAUUAAGCAUGACCCAAUUGGUAGCAAAACUAUAUGAACGAAUUAGAUAAAUUGGUUGCUUCUAAAAAGGUCAAGGUGCCACGGUACUUAUUACUAUGUAAUUACUGGCAGGUUAAUUGUCUGGAAAACAAGAUGCAAUGGUGUAUAACACACAGUGAUAGAUGUGCAAGGGAAAAGACAACAACAAUGUUUGUUAAAAGAAGGAUCGAGUUCUACGGACUGAUUAGUUAGUUGACCACAACAUGUUAAAGAAUAAUCGAAUUCUUCUACUUACUAUGGCAACACCUAGAAGGCUAGAAAGAGAGUUUUUCCCCUGCUGAUCACAAUCAGAAGGGCUCAUGGGGCAUUCGCAGGUUCCCCUAGACAUUCGCCACCACCUUUGCUAUGAUGAAACCCAUCUUCGGGUUUCCCUGGUGCUUGCCUAAGGUGGCAGGGUUGCUUGCUCAUCACUGCACCAAACAGUUUCCAACAAACACACGGUCAGGUGUCACUGGAACAAACAGGGAGCAACACAUAAGCAAAGAGGGAGCGAUUGACAUCAACUUCAACACUAAUUCAAUACCACACACUUCAGCCCAGCAGGGACACAACGCAAAAGCAAACCAAAUCUACGAGUAUGAUACAACAGAGAACAAGUUGAGGCAUCUCCCACACUCGCAGGAAGCCCUCACUUUGCAUAUAUCUUGAACCAGCCAAACUACACAUCUUAAUUCUACCAUCAGUCAAGCACUGAUCAAGGUCGUCACAUGCUAAACAAAACAGGAUCAACAGAUACACUUACGCUUUGACAACCGUCUCCACACAUAUGGCCCUUGACCAUAUCCUCAAGACCCCCCUGGCCCUGUAACAACCAACCACGACUUCCAGGUGUUUCUUCUCCUCUCCUGUGAUCAAUAAUAUCCAAAGAAUCAAGUCAGGUCU